rnacentral:rRNA from 1 species
GACGUAGGGCGCGAGCGUUGUCCGGAUUUAUUGGGCGUAAAGAGCUCGUAGGCGGCUUGUCGCGUCGACUGUGAAAUCCCGCGGCUCAACUGCGGGUCUGCAGUCGAUACGGGCAGGCUAGAGUUCGGUAGGGGAGACUGGAAUUCCUGGUGUAGCGGUGAAAUGCGUAGAGAUCCGGAGGAACACCAGUGGCGAAGGCGACACGCUGGGCCGUACCUGACACUGAUGCGCGACAGCAUGGGGAGCAAACAGG